CACCUCAGAUGAUGCAGGAGGGGCCUCUGUAGUGCCGCCCCCUCUUUCACACAAACACACACACACCCUCCUGCCCUCCCAGUCCUACAGAAGAUCAGUUUGGAGAAGGUGCACCAGUGUUUGUGUUCAGAGCAGCUCUGUCCAGAUCUAGAGGGCCAGCAUGACUCUCCAAGCUCUCAUCCCAGUGUCUCUCUCUCUACUCUGGCUCACAGGUCACUGCCAGAAGAGUGAUGUCACACAGCAGCCAGGAACGAUCUGGAGUCUUGCCCGGAAAACUGCAGAGAUGAACUGCAGCCAUGAGAAAGACGUGAGUUACAAUCAGAUGUACUGGUUCAGACAGCGUCCAGGGGAGUCCAUGAUGCUCAUCGUGUUCACAAGCGUUGGUCUGCAGCCGGACUACGGAGAUCUCAGUAAAACCAAAUACUCAGCUGUUAAAUCUGUAGCUCAGAACGGAGCGUUCACUGUGAAGGACUUGACACCAGAGGACAGCGGGCUGUAUUUCUGUGCUGUCAGCCAACACAGUGAUACAGACUGAUUGUACAGCUGAACAAAAACUGGUUUGUGACAGCCUUGGGUUUGUUUUCCUGCAUCAUCAGAACAGAUGUGGUGUCUGUCCUGUAGGUGGAGCUACAGCUCAACAAGUCCUCCAGCACCAGGCUGGGGGUGAAGUCUUGUUCUGGAUCACACCAGAGCUCAGAGCUCCUCAGAGUCCCUGAACAUUUCUGGAGAGUCAACAUGAUCACAUGUCUCAUACUCACAGGGAUU